CACACACACACACACACACACGGGGGGAAGAAGCCGGGUUUCUCGGAUGAGGCAACAAGCCUGCAAUUGGCAGGGACAAGGCAGGAAUUGUAAUUGCACUUCAUCAUGUGAUGGCUUAUGAAAGAGGAAGUUUGGAUGUUUUAGUCACGUACUCCUUUGCCCUCUUGCUUUAGCCUCCAGGUUCUCCGAAGGAAAAAAUUACAUAUAUUUAUAUAUACUGGUGGAAAGCCAAGAAACAGUGUGUUUGCACAUUUCAGAUCAUGAGCAGAGCUGGAGUGCUAGCUGAGCGAGGCUGCAGGGGAAGAAGAAAGCAAGGCUUUCAGCUGUGGCAGGCUUUUAACUGCAGGACAGAAAAUGUGAUCUGUAUUCAUUUUCCUUUAUUUCUAAUCAAAACUAGCUGCAUGGAAAAGUCAAGACGAGCAGUGUUCUGGUUCUGCCACAUUUACUGCCUUUGAAUUCAUUCUGGUGGAAAAGGCAAAAAAAAGCCAAACAAAAACCCAUGUUACUGAGCUCAAUGUCAAAAAGCUGAUAAAAAAUAGUGGCAGUGCUACAUAGGAAAUGUGGUUUAUGUAUCAAAUCACAAAAAAAAUACCUCAAAGCUGCUGACUGCUACAGAGGUAACUGCACAGGAAUCAAGCAAAUAAUGUGUUUGUUUCUUGUUCCCUUUUUUUUUCUCAUUUUUGAAACAGAAACCAUCCUUUUGUGCCUGAUCUUUGUGAAAUGCUGCUUGCUAUGACACACCAAGGCUAUAGAUAGGAGCAGUGAGUGCUGGAGGACGUCUGAUGGGAUGUGGGGCUGUGCAGGUCUGAGGCAGUGCCUGGCCAAGGAGCACCAUGGUAGUAUGGAUGGGGGUCUAGCACGGUGUGGAAAGCCUUUGUCUUGUUCUGGUGUGCCCAAUAUCAUGGGUUAGGGAAAGAAGGGAGAGGAGAGGUUGAAGAGGGCAGCUCUUUGAGAUGAUCUCUGUCUGCCACCCCUACAUCACCAUGGCAAGCCCCUUUUCACCGUGUGUUUCUUGGUUUUUUUCAGUGAACCACACUGAGAUUUUACUGUGUUUCUCUUUCUCCCUGCAGGAUCCUAUUUACUUUCCCACCUGUCCUCUGUGCUAGUGGAAGUGAUCGCAUGCAGAUCCUUGUCCCAGAACUGUGCCCCCAGCCUGCACUUUACCCACAUAUUCAUCCCUCAUGGGGCCUGCCCUUCCUUCUGUGUCCAAACCAGUGCUCCUCACCUGCUCUCCUGUGCCCUUGGCAUUCCUCUUUCCCUCCCCAUCGAGAGCUGUUUCACAUACUCAUCCAGCAGAUAUACACUGCUUCCUCCACGGCUCUUAUUGGCAUCCUUCUGUUGCAGCAGAAGUCCUGCAGGGUAGUAUCAAAAUGGCCAGAGCCAAGAUGGAAAAGUGAUUAUGUUGGAGAGUGCUACCAACUCUCCUUCAUUGAUCCAUAGUGAAUUAUGGAGCUUGUUCUCCUAGAGCUGAGAGAAGAGAGGCUGGGAAUAGUCCUUGAGGUUUUGGAUUUGGUCAGAUGCAGGUGAUUCUGGGCCAACAAUGUUAGUGCCAUAGGGAAAAAAAAAGAUACCGAUGCAAAUGAGAGUGUAAUCAGGCACAGCUUGUUGACAUAAAUAGGCUUUGGACAGGCUCAUGGUAAGCCACGGAUCCUGCAGAUGUUUACAACCACUUAUAACUUUAUUCACGGGAGCAUCACUAUGAAUGUAAAGCCAUGUGCACUUACAUGCUCACCGGGUGAGAGCAUGCUUGCCUGAGAGCCGCUUGUCAGUGGUGUGCUGACAGCUGCCCUGCAGCCUGGAGCUGACUGUUGAUGGCAGGAGCUGACAGAGGCACUGGCACAGAAAUACUCUACUGAGGCUGGAGAGAGGUCACUGCACUAGCUCCCUGCAAGGCAGGACAUGCCAGAGGAUUGAGAGGGACUCGAGCAGCUACUCAGUGUCUGCCCUUUCCCAUACAUGGUGCCUUUUAUUAACUCCUUGAAAACAGCUGCAUUGAAGGCUGCUGUUUCGUGUUAACUUCUGAAGAGCUGUGAGGCUCCUAAGCAGAGCCUGCCUAGAAAAGGAAACAGCAGAAGGAGACUGGUGUACCAUCUCCUGAAAUAUGAGUAGAAAAAAAGCAUCAAGGAAAAGAUCAUGGAAGUACUUAAGAAUUUCAGAAGUUACUACCCUUGGAAGAGAAAGAAAAACUUCAGAGAGACACUUCCAGAUACCAGAAGAAAGGGCAGUACCCCUCCUUUGCAGGGAGCCCCUCAGGGAGCAUUGUGCGCAGUCAGAGGAGGGAAGAAAUGCUCUUCUCUGUGUUUCAGCCCAUAGCCUUAUCUUUUUGAUGACUGCAGUGUAAUAUGAACAUACAUCCCUCCUGCUCAAGCUGAGCUCCAAAGAGAGGUGCCUGCUAGGAAGUACAGUUGAGUUCAUAUUUGAUUAAAAGAACACUAGCAACAUUAAUAACUGGUACACCUGUGCUAGAAUUGGCAAUUAAACUCCGUCUCCUCCUGUGAAUUUUAGUCAUUAAAGGAACUUGCCAAAGGCUGGGACUUGGGUAUCACUUAGUCUCCCAAAUAGGACUGGAUGAGGGACCAGUCAUCUUCAUAAUGGGUCCUGCCAAGAACCUUGCAUCAUGCUUGAGGAAUGGGCAUGUCAGUGAGCUCGCUGGGGUGGCUGCAGAGGCUGCUUGCACAGCCACCACUCUCUUCUGAUUCAGGGGUCUUGCAUGUGCUCCUGGAAGGUGCCAGACAGGCAUCCCUCAACAACCUGCCCCCUAACAUGUCUUAUCACAGUCUCAACACACAGUUCAUCAUGAUCGGGAGCACUAAGCAGCUGCCUCUUUGCCCCAUGGUCUGCUUCCACUUCCCAUACACCUUGUGCAGCCUCAGAGGUUAAUGACUUUUGAAUAUUGCAGAUCUGGGAUGGGUUUCAAUGGCUGAUCCAGAGGCAAGAGGGUGAUCAUCUUGAUCAUCCAUUUUCCCUCUGCCAGUUACUAUUAUUGCUAACUGCUGUUCCACACACAUUGUAAUUAAGUGGAAAAAAUACAGACCAAAUGAAAAAGGGUACAAGCCUCUCAAAAACAUCUCUGCUUUAGCUGCAGCCUGACUCAGCCUUCAAUUAACAUUCUUACUUAAAAUAGUUUUGUUAUACAGCUUUCGUUAAAUCUUACAUAAUAGCAGACCAAAUCACCACCCCAGAG